CCCUUAGAUGUUCUGGGCUGCACGCGCGCUACACUGAAGCUAUCAACACGUUUUCCCUCCCUGAGAAGGGCGGGUAACCUUUUGAAUCAGCUUCGUGGUAGGGAUCGGGGCUUGCAAUUGUUCCCCGUGAACCAGGAAUUCCUAGUAGACGCGAGUCAUAAGCUCGCAUAGAUUAAGUCCCUGCCCUUUGUACACACCGCCCGUCGCUACUACCGAUUGAACGUUUUAGUGAGGCAUUUGGACCGACGCAUCUCAGUUUAACCGCUGGUUUGUGUUGGAAAGACUUCCAAACUUGAGCGUUUAGAGGAAGUAAAAGUCGUAACA
rnacentral:rRNA from 1 species